GGGGAGGGCAUGCAACUGCUGCAGAAGUCAUCUUUGCAACUUUUGCAAGCUAUCUUUUCAGAUAUCGUCAAAAAAAUACCAUGCAACAGUAAAUACAUAGAUGGUAAGUUACUAGUGAUUUUUUUUUUUUUUUAAUUCUCUUUAGUGAAGUGUUCUGUUAAACAGAUCUGUCCUGUUUCAGAUCAGAACAUUUAUGAAUCCAGCAGUAAAAGUACCUAUUACAUGCAUAGUGGGGAGAUUAUCAUAGUCUUACUCCUAGCACGGACUCCUCUAUUAUGAUAAUGUAAAAUGAAUUGUAACGAUGUCACCAGUAACAUCAAGGAGGAAUCUGCUUUCAUGGAUAAAAUAAUCUAACUUGUUACACAAUACUGAGCAAUGUGCAGAUACCGGAUAUAGUUACUGUUCUGUCAUUUAAACAAACUGGGGGAAAAAAGUGACUUAAUCUGGUUGUUGGCACUUUUUAAACUGGUUGAUAGAAUGUACCCAUAUCUUUAGAUCAUAGCCUCACUUCCCCUCCCUCCUUAGAUAUUUUUUUUUUAAACCCCCAAAAAACACAUUACCUUGAAAGGGAUAGUGAAUCAAAUGUGCACAUGCAACAAUCAGCCCCAGGCAAUUGACUGCUUCUCAGUCAUUCUCUAUGAAAAGCAUUUGCAACAUAUGGUAGCAUCAUCAUAAUGGAAUGAGGAACAGCCUCUAGUCCAGGGGUCAGC